rnacentral:tRNA from 4 species
GUGGCUAUAGCUCAGUUGGUAGAGCAUCGCGUUGUGGUCGCGAGGGCCGCGGGUUCAAGUCCCGUUAGCCACC